ACUCGAUCCAGCCAUCAGCGAUGUGAGGGCCUCUAUCGCCUAUUUUUCCUCGCAUUGUCACUGGCCAUGCGAUUUCUCCUCGCGUGCACGACUGAUCGUAGGUGGCCUGACCUCCUUCGAGAGUUGAUGUUGUUGCAAUGCCAAGAAUGAAACCACUCCGCCCUAGCCCGAGCCCUGGCUUGAUCGAGUCGCAGUGGCCCUUUCACAGUGUGAUUCUAACUUGAUGUCGCCGCCCUUAGUGUGAGGUCAGCUCGACGAUGUUGCAGCCAAGAUUGUCGGGAGGGAUGACAUUGUUGACUAUUAUAGGAGUUGACGCCCUCUUCACUUGCUGGGAUCCACUGUGGGCCAUUCACCAGAGGGGUCGCCACUGUUCCAACGCCGAUGUAUACACGAAGGACGUUGAUUCGAGACGUACGUCUCGACAUGGGAUUGUUUAGCACGAUCGACAUAUAAAGAGUAUGAAAUCUCGAUUUAAAGCACCAAAGGAAUGGACACCAAGGAGAUGGGGGGCUCUACGAAGUCGUCAAGGAGUCGAGGCACCAAGGAAUCAGGGGGAGUCAAGGAGUUAAGGUUGACUCGAUUUUCCCUUAACUUGAACUGCUACCUCCGUAGGAUUACUGAUCUCCCUUAUCCACAUGGAAUUUUCUGAUUAUCCCAUAGCAGUGUCAACUGUCUUAAAGUCUAAAAUUUUAAAAAUAUUUUGAUUUCUAUUGUUAAUGAUUUUAAGCUGA